rnacentral:sRNA from 1 species
UAUUCCUUUAAUGGCCAGAAAAUUGAACCAAGGAGCAAGGACCCAAGUCCCACUUACUCUGUCACCAGCCUGACAGAAUCUCUCUGUGUAGCCCUGGCUGUCCUAGCACUCGCUUAUAGACCAGACUCAGACUGCCUCUGCCUCCUGAGUGCUGGGAUUAAAGACAGCCUGCCUUUUUUUUUUUUUUUUUCACCUUCGUCGAUAUUAGAGUGAGUUGCAGGUCUCUAGCACGGAGAAUUGUCCAGAAAGAAUGCAAAUCUAGUAAGACACUCUUUUCUUAUAUUUUUAGUUGGGAGCCUAGCCUUAAUGGCUGAGCCAUCUCUCUAGCCCAAGACACUAUUUUCUAAACUCUUGGAUUCUGUGUACUGUGGUGACCCCCCGGACCCCAACACAAGCCUGGAAAACAAAUAAAAGCAGGUCCUGAUGGUUCAGAGUGUGAAAGUAACUGAAGCAAACCAGACUCAGUACGUCCAGUGGGAUAGGAGUGGCAUUGUCUGACUGUAUGUCCAGUGUAGUGGGUUUUUUUUAAUCAACCUUUAAGUAGUUACUCGGAGAAGAUUGUGUUUAUAAACUUGACACUAAUGAAUGAAAAGGAUAAUUGAAGAAAAGCAUGCUGAGUAGGAAAUCAGCAUGGCGGUUCCCUUUUUGGUAAUUGACUGCCUCUCAGAAGGCAGACCUGCUUUUCUUAGUACUUAAUAAGUGAGGGCAUAGUCUUUGCACCCACACUGCCCACAUUCAAACUUUGCCUAUGUUUAUCACCUUAGGAAAGCUAAGCAUUGUGUGUCAUAGGGUUAUAAAUGCUGUGAUGAAACACCGUGGCGCAAAGCACCUGGAGAGGAAUGGGUUUGUUUUGGCUUGCUUACUCUGAAUCACGGUCUGUUGGUGGAAGCCAAGGUAGUAAGUCCAUCGAGGAAGGAACUUGGAGGUAGGACUGACAGAAACCAUGGAGGGUGCUGCUUACUGGCUUGCUCUCCAUGGUUUGCUCAGCCUGCUUUCUUACAGAACCCAGGAGCACCAUCCCAGGGAUGACAGCACCCACAGUGAGCUGGCCCUCCCCCACCAAUCACUAAUUAAGCCCUCUAUAGCAGGGUCUUACGAAGGCAUUUUCUCAGUUGAGACUCCCCCUCUGAUGACUGUGCCUCCCUUUCUUCAUUCCUAACACGGAGACUUUCUGUGCUUUGUGUGUGGGUGGGAUUGAGUGUUAUAGUCGCUGCAGUAGACCAGGAGCACUUCUGCCACGCAGCCAGCGCAGGGCUCACUCUCAGCACUACUGAUGCUACUGUUGCUUUCCUCUCCACUGUCUUCAGUGUUGGCUUUGCUCUGUUCCUUUCCAAGAAGGUUCCAGAACCCUUUGUGACUGAGGCUGGCUGUGAACCACUAACCCUUCCACAUUACCUAUGAAAUGCUGGCACUACAGGCACAAACCUCGCUGACUGGAUCAGUUCUUAGGUUUCCAACCAACACUCUUCCAGCUACACUGAGUAAAGAGAGAUGUUUCCCUAGCCAAGCUGGGAUUUCUUACCACUGCAUAUUAUAAAUCAUUAAAGUAUUUAAAAGCAAAUAUACACAGAAAAUCAUACAGACCGUUUCCAUCUUGAUGUCGAUGGUCCGUUGAAUUAUGUUCUAGUGUAAGUGAGCGCUACCUCUGUGACCUAUGGAGCUCAGAAUAACGUAGGUGGCAGGUAAUUUGCAACUGGAAGUCACAUCACUCUUGAGCGUGACUCAAGAGACCCUGGAUUCCAUCCUCAGUACAGAAUUACAAAGAGGAGUUGGGGUGGAAUGGUCAGGCAUCGAGGGUCCCAGACCGGUCCGUUCAGGUUCUGCCCAUGAUUCACUUGAUCCAGCCAGGCCCUCCAGCAAGGCCCUUUGUCUUUCUGUGCCAGUACCUGCAGCAGACUGGAGAAUCAGGUGACCCUGCUGGUAUCUGGAACAUGAGCAGCCCUGGAUCACAGUGGGAAUGUUGUAGAUGUGCCACAGCGGCCACUGGUCACACUCGCUACUCCGUCCGUAAGUAGCUCAUGUGAGGGGACUCAAGCUUGCCUUCUCUCGCAUUCCAGUUAAAUUUAAACAGCCCACUGUAGCCGGGAGGGUGUGAGUGAGAUGAGGACUCACUCUUAAGCUCCAGAUGAGAGUCCACAUAGAUGACAGGAGAAUUCAACAGCUGUGCCUUGUCUGGUAGCUCCACAUCGCGUUGGGUUAACAAAGCCCCACUUUCUCCACGGUGCUGCAGAUGGAGCCCCCGUCAGUCACAUGGCCACUAAUUAAUGGGGUGGGGGUAUUGUGAGAAGUCCAACAGUUAGGUGGUUAGACUUGCUACCAACAGCUCUCUAGCAGUGCACCCUCUCCCUAUUGCCUGUGAACACAGACUUAAUCAGAGCUGUGAAUUUCCCUGUCUGCUGGGCCCAGUCCUCCUGGGGUAGCUCAGUCUGAACUGCUACAAACAAUGGAGCUUUCUAUUGGAAUUGGAGUGGAAAAAGAACAGCUGAUGUUUUUCUCCCCAACACUAAGACCUGUAACCACUGGUUUCCACAGACCCGAAAAAAUGCUAAAUAUUGUUAGUUUACUCUUUUAAAAACUUUAUUACAGCUGGGCUGGAGAGAUGGCUCAGGUUAAGAGCACUGGCUGCUCUAGAGGACCUGGGUUUAGUUCCCACAAGGUGUAUAGCCCCUGCUUUUGGGGAUCUGGCCUCUGCAGACAUCACGUGUGUGGUUCACAUGUAUCUGUGCAGGCAAAACACUCAUGCAGAAAAUAAAUCUUUGCAGAACUUUGCUACAAAACCGUUUGCAGUCUUUCUUCCCUCCAUACCUGCCUACUUAUUUAUUUCCCCUCACAAUUCUCUCUCACAUGGGCGAGUUUGUUGUGCAAAAAAAUGUGUCCUGUGUACUAUGUAAUUCCAUGCUUGGUGGAAUAAGUUUGAGGACUGUCUUCUUUACAGAACUUGUCGGCAAGUCUAGCUUUUGUAUACUGCUGACAAGAAAUGACUUUCUUGCCAUUUCCGGGUAGGUCUUUUGUGGCGGGUUGCCGCUAUGCUUGUUUUAGUAAAAUUACAAUACUAUGAGUUGGGAAAAUAAGAAAUGUGAGCCACCCAUCCCCCUCCUGAGAGAACCGUAAGACUACCCCACCCUCUGGCUUUCGAGGUGAUUGAUUUGUGGGUUUGUUGUUGGUUUGCUUUGGUUGUUGGCUUUAUUUUUUGUUUUUGAGACAGGUUUCUCUGAGUAGUGGCUGUCCAGGAAUUUACUAUGCAGAGGAGGCUGGCCUCAAACUUACAGAAAUCUGCCUGCCUCUGCUUCCUGAGUGCUGGGAUUAAAAGCCAUACCUAAUUCAUCUGUGAGUUUUGCUGAAGCUUGUUUGAGAGUUUUGUUUACAGGAUUAAGAACAGUGUGUCUGUCUGUCUGUCUGUCUGCCUGUCUGUCUUAAGACUGAGAGUUGUCAAGGGACACCAGUGUCCCUGAGGUGCCUGCCACCCACCGAACUCUGGAGCACAGGUGCUGUGUCUGUCAGCAUCUUUCAGGCAGCAUAGGCAGAGGUUGAGGCCUGAGUGGUGACAGUGACAUGAUAAAGCUUAUGACCCUCUUCCCCAUCUUUGUCUGCCCUCACCAAUCACCAAGGGCAGGCAGCAGGUGAAGGGGAUCAUUAGGAAGCUGGGACUGGAAGGGUGUUCAAGACCUACUGUUAGAGCAUACUGAUGGCUAUUGUGUUAGAGAAUUGGCCUUUUGAUAAGGAUUGUGGAAAGGAUGCAAAAGUGCCAUUUCUACAGUUGUUGUUGUUGUUGUUGUUAUUAUUAUUAUUAUUAUUAUUAUUAUUAUUAUUAUUAUGUGUGUACUAUAGAGGCCUGAGGAGGGCAUUAGGAUCCCCUGGAGCUGGAGUUACAGGUGGUUAUGGGCCUCUACGUGGAUGCUGGGAAAACUCAAUUCUUUGAAAAAGCACCAAGCUGCUAACAGUAAGCCAUGUCUACAGUGGUUGUUCUGAAAUCUUAGUGGUGUCCUGUGUGUAGCAGGAGAUGAUCAUAGGCAUUAGGAAACUGGCCAGUUGCUGACCUCCCCUCCUUUUGGAGCACUUGGACCGUAUGUCCCUCUACUUCUAGGAGCAGCUCCCCUGAUGCAAGACCUGACAGGCUAUUUGGCGACUUAGUUCUUCAGUGUUGCACUGCAAGAGCCUAAUCGCAGGACCAUGUGGGCAUCAUAAGGUCUGUCUGUGUUUACUGUGUUCCUGGGAUUUAGUCCUGGUUAGGAUUACAUUGUCCUGAGGAACUCAUCUGGGCUCACAUUGAGGGCGGUUGGCAUGGAAGUCUGCCCUUAGCCCCCACAUCUGAGUGACUAAGGAAGAACACCUUUCCUCCCCCUACGCAGGAAAGUAAUUCACAGACAUCCCAACUGCCGCUUAGGCAGCUUUUGUCCCAGCAAGUUUGUGAACUCAGCUAGUUCUCAACCAUGCCCAAGGCUUGGCCAGCAUUGGUGUGGGAAGGACAGCAGUGGACAGUUUCCUUGUGUUCAGGGCCACUUUGUUUCUCACUCAGGAUGUGACCAAGGUGAAUGAGAAGCCUCCUCUGGCCUUGACAGCUGAAAACCAGCUUCCUCAGAACCUGAUUUCUCCGCAUAUGUGGGGUCUGGGUGGGCCUCUCCAAGUAGCUGCUGUACCUUGCUGUGACGCUUAGCUCACUGGAAAGGGACACUCAGCCUGUGCCUCAGUGUUACCCAGCCUCACGCUGCAGGUUUCCCUCCUGUGCAAUCGAAUCCAUGCAUAGCAGUCUUAACGUGCCUUAGAUCCGGGGUUUAGGAGGGAGAUGGAGAUCCCUACAAAACCUCUCAGGGGGUCUCUCCUGACUCCUGCCAUCCCAUGGUGUAAAUCCCAUUACCCUCUCGAGACCCCCAGAAAUACCCUGAGCCAAAUUCUCCAGACAAGUUCCUGCCCAGAAGUGUGUGUAGUUAGCUGCUCAUGAACAUUGUCUUAAACGUGGAGUCUUGGAUGUGUGGUGGCUCAUGUCACCAACAUCUGAUACCAGUCCCUGGUGUGUCUUGGAGUCUCCCUUCUUGACACACUUCUCUGACCCUUGGUGCCAUCCGUGGAGUGGAGCUAGUAACGCUCAGCUGUGUAGCAUUGUGAAGAGUCACAUGAUCAGCAGAGUUUUCACCUUGAAUCAUCUUCCUCUGACAAAGAUGGCAUGGGCCAUGUGGGCUGGUGGCCCAGGAGGCAUUCUGGAAAGAAACAUCAGCUGCAGGUCAGCUCGGCCUCAGAAGAAUGUGCUGGUCGAAGUGAGGACCCAAGGUUAAAGAGGAAUUUACUCUUUCCAUCCUCAGGCCUUCCUGUGGGCACAGCAACAGCAGAGCCAGAUGUAGUAGGUCCUUUCCCACCACAGAGUUAGCCAGCUAGCACAGGCAGACGGAGAGACUCUAUGACCUUGGCCCCAUGCCUUCAGCAGGUUCACAUGGAGGCUUCAGCUGACAGCUCACAGCCCACGGCCACCUGGGAAAUUGUGGUCUCCCCACCAAGCACCUGCCUUCCAGAGGGCUCUGGCCUCCAGACAGAUAUAAAUAACCCGAGAGACUGACUUGGAGCAAGUGGUGAGGGCUGUGGCCAAGAAGGGAAAAAAGGACAGAGAGGAGAUGCACAGUGAAAAUGCCCUGCAGGGAGGGGGGAAGGAGGGCCCCUGGCAGCUACAGUGAGGGCAGAGAGGCUGUUCCUCACACAGUGAGAGGCACCCUGGCAGGGGCUGGCCUACUUGUGAGGGGCUCUCCACAACAUUCCCUCCCUCCCUGUUCCAGCACCCCACUUCACAGCCUCACGCGUUCCUGGAGUGCUGGUUUUCGCUCGUUUCAGUCUCUUCUAAGCAAAGUACUAUUCCCAAUGCAUCCCAAUUUAGGAGGAGGGGCAUUCUGCCCAUUAAAUUCCUAAUGUCACCCAAAGACCCUGCACACUUAGACACUAGCUGUCCUGGCAGCCACAUUAGGCUGUUGACACCCCUGUGCAUAACCCCGACUGCAGAAAAGAAGCAUCCUGAACAUUCUGUGUUUGCCUUGUGCACACGCUAUGUUGUCCUUGUUCAACUCUUCAGCUCAGAAAAAGCUGUCUAUCCACAUCGCUUCCCCAUGUUCCUCCAGGGCCUCUUUCAUUCACUCUUGUCAGGCUACCCGGCCCAUGAGGUUGGCCUCACUGGGCAAAGUGAUACCUAACAUUCCAGUUUCCUGUGAGUAGGAACACGCUCCUCUGCCUCUCCGUCCCCUCUCAUGCUGGCCAUUCUGUCCUGAGUGAGGGGCCCGUUACUCUCCUCAGUUACACAGUGUAAAGACGAGUGCAUGACCCACAGAUGUCAGAGAGGCCAGCGUGGUCCUAGUGUACUGGUCUGGGUCUGAAGUGGGAAGGCUUUCGCCAAUUGUGAAGCUAAUGUUUACAAGAACAUUUUCCCUUUAGGUCAGACGUGAUCAUGUACACCUGUACCCAGCACUCCACAGAAGCGGGACUGGGAAACCAGCCUAGAUUCCGGAAUGAGGCCUUGUUGAAAGGAAAGAGCAAAAGAGGUGUCAGAGGGAACGCUGAGGGCUUCUGUUCAUCCAUGGUGCUCAAGUCUAGGGAGGCAUGAGGACAGCAUCAACCAAGAAGGUAAAUCAACCGUCACUCGGAAGAUCCAGUGGAGAAAAGAAAAUAUCAGGGACAAGAAAGGAGAGGAGGUUACACCAUGGCUUUACCUGUCACGGCAAGCCUGGCCUUGAGAACUGAUGAGAGGCGUCAGAUGCCCAAGGCUCACAUCUGUUGCUUACCCAAUCGAUGCCCUCCUCCUCACACCCUGGACCCACCUACUUUCACAUGCAGCUUCUGCAGAGCAUUGGCUCUCUCUGUAGCUAGCACAGUAGCAGGGAACCAGGGCCCAGGCUCCUGUUAUCUGCCCUGGAGCAGAUGGCUGCCCAGCACAGGUCCUGCCCAGGCCUUCCUGGAUAGCCUGGGUGUAGCCUGGGUAUAGCCUGGGUGUCUUGUACUGAAGCGAAAUGCCCGUGCCCUGGGCAGACAGGCAGCAGUCUCCAGCAGCAGGUCUUCUACAGUCGGAGAGAAACAUGGAAGAAGGGGGGGGGGGGGUUUACAG